GAAACCUGAUAUAUCAUCAGCCUGCCAGUGAAAGAUGGAACUUCCGUGAAAGAAUAUCAAGCAUAGAUUAAAUUAUCACGAUUAUCAUCUUCCUAUUCAAAUUUGACCUCCGUUUUAAUUCACCAAGCCUACACCCUUACCCCUAAAACUGGAAGCCUCAUGCUACCUCUAUGCCCUGUGUCCAUACGCUGAUAUCUCAGACCCACAUCAUAAUUUACGAUUUACAGGCUUUAAAUUCUAACCAAUCUGAAAUUCAAGUCCAUUUGUUUAAUGAAGAUACUAAAAUGAUUAUAUUAAUCAUUAUCACAUUUUAUUAAGCAGAGGUACUUUACUAGAAUUUUAGUUUCUUUUCAUUUCAUGAACCAGAACCCUUCAUAAAUUGCAAUACAACCAGUAGUUAUCGCUGUCAACAAGUUAAAAGAGCAUGGCAGCACUUAGUUCUGCUAUUGUCCACAGCAAUAUAUAUCAACUAUACCAUCAGACCAGAAAGACAUCUAUUAGUAUUUAUAUUUGUCCAAGUAUUCGUCCUUAUCCACAGUUAUGACAAAAAAAAUUCUCUUAGAUAACAAAGUUAUGGCUUUAUAAAGCCAUAAAUAUCCAUGCCAUGCCAGACUAUGAUAAAACUAACUCAUGGGUGGAGCAUGGAGGAAAGCUUUAAUGUUUCCUUUACUGGAAAAAAAAGAGCAAAAAAUUUAAUGAUAAUUACCUGUACUGCGAGUAAGCCAAGGA
rnacentral:misc_RNA from 1 species